rnacentral:piRNA from 1 species
UCUCCUAAAGUGUCUUGUUUGUGCCA